ensembl:miRNA
UCAGGCCCACCCCCCUGGCCCCAAAUCCCGUGGCCCCAGCUGGAGGAUGAGGAGAUGCUGGGCUUGGGUGGGGGAAUC